rnacentral:rRNA from 1 species
AUGACGGACGAGCCUUCCUCCAACAGACUUGAAACCUCAAGAAUCUGCAACACAGCAAAGAACAGCUCCGCCCGCUGCAUACCAUCACCACUACCAUCACCCAAGGUCGAACGGGAGGACUGCCAGGAGGACGAGGAGGAGACCGGCGGGUCUCCCCUGUACCGCGACUGGCCGCCGGUGCCCAAGCGGCAGAGGACGGCCGUCUCGUUGUCGCCGCCGAGCUCCUCCGCGGAGCAUCACCACGGGAACGGAGGGGCAGCCUGCACGGAGGUUGCGGCUGCUCUGGAUAGGCUGGCGGGGACGUACGAGCGGGCUGAGGCGGCCAAGCAGAUGGAGGCGACACGGCUGGAGGACCGCCGCCUGGAGGCCAUGCGGGAGGGGGCAGCCAUGGAGAGGAGGGGGGAGGGGAGGGGAGGGGCUGCGAUGACUAACCACCGGGGAGAAGUCUACCCGUGGAAGCUAGUGGAUCGAAGGGGAAUCGGGAGGCUUGGGCCUUCGAAGCCACGCUUACCAAACAGGCCAACGGUCUCUCCUACCCCAAGCUUGGCUAGCCACUCCCCUCUCGCGCCGACAAACUCGCCCCCGCCGUGCCGCCGUCGCGGUCGCCUCCUCCUCUUCCCCAACUCCGAUCAGGCCCAGGCCGACGACGCGCGGGCGGCGGGGUACAGUGGAGGACUCUCCUGCGAGGGCACAUCAGUCUUCUCCCCACUUACCUCGGAGAGGGAGGUCACCGGAGGCGGCGACCUCGUCUCCGACGGCGCGGCCAUCAGGAAACGGCGACCUCGAGCCAGCGAAGGCGACCAGGUCUUCCAGCGGAUAGACCCCACAAUUCGAAAACCUAGGGGAGCACCGCGGCGUCUGAGAUUGUGUUGA